rnacentral:rRNA from 1 species
CCUACGGGGGGCUGCAGUGGGGAAUAUUGGACAAUGGGGGGAACCCUGAUCCAGCCAUGCCGCGUGUGUGAAGAAGGCCCUCGGGUUGUAAAGCACUUUCAGUGAGGAAGAACGCCUGGUGGUUAAUACCCAUCAGGAAAGACAUCACUCACAGAAGAAGCACCGGCUAACUCCGUGCCAGCAGCCGCGGUAAUACGGAGGGUGCGAGCGUUAAUCGGAAUUACUGGGCGUAAAGCGCGCGUAGGUGGCUUGAUAAGCCGGUUGUGAAAGCCCCGGGCUCAACCUGGGAACGGCAUCCGGAACUGUCAAGCUAGAGUGCAGGAGAGGAAGGUAGAAUUCCCGGUGUAGCGGUGAAAUGCGUAGAGAUCGGGAGGAAUACCAGUGGCGAAGACGGCCUUCUGGACUGACACUGACACUGAGGUGCGAAAGCGUGGGUAGCAAACAGGAUUAGAUACCCGUGUAGUC